GAUGAAGAACGUAGCGAAAUGCGAUAAGUAGUGUGAAUUGCAGAAUUCAGUGAAUCAUCGAAUCUUUGAACGCACAUUGCGCCCUUUGGUAUUCCAAAGGGCAUGCCUGUUCGAGCGUCAUUUGUACCCUCAAGCUUUGCUUGGUGUUGGGCGUCUUGUCUCCAGUCCGCUGGAGACUCGCCUUAAAGUCAUUGGCAGCCGGCCUACUGGUUUCGGAGCGCAGCACAAGUCGCACUCUUUUCCAGCCAAGGUCAGUGUCCAACAAGCCUUUUUUCAACUUUUGACCUCGGAUCAGGUAGGGAUACCCGCUGAACUUAAGCAUAUCAAUAAGCGGAGGA
rnacentral:misc_RNA from 1 species